GUCAGGGUCUCGUGCUGUUGCCCAGGCUGGUCUUGAACUCCUGGGCUCAAGCAAUCCUCCCGCCCUGGCCUCCCAAAGUACUGGAAUUACAGAUGUGAGCCAUCAAGCCCAGCCACAGCAGUUCUUAAAAGGAAAAUCACAUAAUCAUAUUUGUGUGUUAGAUAAUUAUAACAACAUAGAGGAUUCAUUGAAGAGAGAGAGGAGAUGAGAAAAACAAUUUCAUCCUUUGUUUAUCAAGGACCUAUUAUGUGUACUUGAUCAUGCAUCAGGCACUACAGAUUCAAAGAUGAAUAAGAGUCCAGCAAGGGAAAUAAUAAGUACCUUUAUGGGACUUGGGGAGACUCAAACUCUGGCCUCGGGUCUUCAUCCCCAUGAACCUCUUAAUUAAAACAAGAGAAGGGCCUGAACUAGAGCAGGGGUUGAGGACAUGGAAAAGAGAACCUACUUGAGAAACAUCUCAGAAAUGAAAUGAACCAGGCUGAGUUUUGGAGUGGAAGUAGAAGUUGAGAGCAGUGAAAACCAAAACUGAGGUCUUUAUCCUGGGCAACUACACAGAUAGUGCUGCUAAUAGGAAAAUGCAGGAGAAGCAACAGACUUAGAGGACUGUCUUGCAGGGUUUUCUUUCUGAGAGAGAGUAAAUAUCAAAUUCCUAUAGGACAGGUUUCCUGCACCACAAGGUUCCUUUCACUUAAAAAAAUUUUUUUUUAUAUUACACCAUCUUUAUUUGUACCUUACCGUCUAAGGCUAUCAAUCAAACUUCAGUAAGAACAGUUUCAGCAUCAACUAACGAACAGUAGCCAAACCAGAGAGCAGUCAAAAGUGUUUUAAAGGGAGCAGCAUCAGCUGAUGUUCUGCCAAGUCUCUGGGUGUUCAGGACCAUGGUCCCCCGGCACUUCCAGGCCCCUGUGGGCUGCAGGUGGAUCCCCAGGAGCCAAAG
ensembl:lncRNA LINC00837 long intergenic non-protein coding RNA 837